UGGAGCUAGAGCAGUCGUCCACACACGUGCAGUGCUGGGGCGAGGAGGCAGAGGAGCUCUCGGUGUCCUUUUGGGGAGGCCCCGGGCCCCCUACUCACCUGCAGGGCAGGGCUCCCCAUCCACACCGUUGACACAGGGAAUGGGCACGUUCUCAUAGCCCCGAGCCACGUCCCUGCAGAAGACGGGAAGAAGGGGCUGGGAAGCUGGAAAAGGGGGUGAGGAGCUACUCCAGGUAUAAGGAAGAGAGUUGGGGAGGUUCCUGGGGCUGGGGGCAGGG
rnacentral:lncRNA from 1 species